AGAGUUUGAUCAUGGCUCAGAUUGAACGCUGGCGGCAGGCCUAACACAUGCAAGUCGAACGGUAACAGGAAACAGCUUGCUGUUUCGCUGACGAGUGGCGGACGGGUGAGUAAUGUCUGGGAAACUGCCCGAUGGAGGGGGAUAACUACUGGAAACGGUAGCUAAUACCGCAUAACGUCGCAAGACCAAAGAGGGGGACCUUAGGGCCUCUUGCCAUCGGAUGUGCCCAGAUGGGAUUAGCUAGUAGGUGGGGUAACGGCUCACCUAGGCGACGAUCCCUAGCUGGUCUGAGAGGAUGACCAGCCACACUGGAACUGAGACACGGUCCAGACUCCUACGGGAGGCAGCAGUGGGGAAUAUUGCACAAUGGGCGCAAGCCUGAUGCAGCCAUGCCGCGUGUAUGAAGAAGGCCUUCGGGUUGUAAAGUACUUUCAGCGGGGAGGAAGGGAGUAAAGUUAAUACCUUUGCUCAUUGACGUUACCCGCAGAAGAAGCACCGGCUAACUCCGUGCCAGCAGCCGCGGUAAUACGGAGGGUGCAAGCGUUAAUCGGAAUUACUGGGCGUAAAGCGCACGCAGGCGGUUUGUUAAGUCAGAUGUGAAAUCCCCGGGCUCAACCUGGGAACUGCAUCUGAUACUGGCAAGCUUGAGUCUCGUAGAGGGGGGUAGAAUUCCAGGUGUAGCGGUGAAAUGCGUAGAGAUCUGGAGGAAUACCGGUGGCGAAGGCGGCCCCCUGGACGAAGACUGACGCUCAGGUGCGAAAGCGUGGGGAGCAAACAGGAUUAGAUACCCUGGUAGUCCACGCCGUAAACGAUGUCGACUUGGAGGUUGUGCCCUUGAGGCGUGGCUUCCGGAGCUAACGCGUUAAGUCGACCGCCUGGGGAGUACGGCCGCAAGGUUAAAACUCAAAUGAAUUGACGGGGGCCCGCACAAGCGGUGGAGCAUGUGGUUUAAUUCGAUGCAACGCGAAGAACCUUACCUGGUCUUGACAUCCACGGAAGUUUUCAGAGAUGAGAAUGUGCCUUCGGGAACCGUGAGACAGGUGCUGCAUGGCUGUCGUCAGCUCGUGUUGUGAAAUGUUGGGUUAAGUCCCGCAACGAGCGCAACCCUUAUCCUUUGUUGCCAGCGGUCCGGCCGGGAACUCAAAGGAGACUGCCAGUGAUAAACUGGAGGAAGGUGGGGAUGACGUCAAGUCAUCAUGGCCCUUACGACCAGGGCUACACACGUGCUACAAUGGCGCAUACAAAGAGAAGCGACCUCGCGAGAGCAAGCGGACCUCAUAAAGUGCGUCGUAGUCCGGAUUGGAGUCUGCAACUCGACUCCAUGAAGUCGGAAUCGCUAGUAAUCGUGGAUCAGAAUGCCACGGUGAAUACGUUCCCGGGCCUUGUACACACCGCCCGUCACACCAUGGGAGUGGGUUGCAAAAGAAGUAGGUAGCUUAACCUUCGGGAGGGCGCUUACCACUUUGUGAUUCAUGACUGGGGUGAAGUCGUAACAAGGUAACCGUAGGGGAACCUGCGGUUGGAUCACCU
rnacentral:rRNA from 3 species